AAAUGCAUAACUCACAGAUGGACUUAUUUCAGAGAUUGUGAAUAUAUUGCCAGGACCUCCCUGUUACUUCCUCCUUCCCAUCAGACUGGCCUCUGACCCUGGUUGGAGCUCGCCGUGUCAUUAGCGUCUGUCUGCGCACAAGGCCUGCUACGCGAGCGCAGGUGCGCACUGAAGGCUAGGAGCGGAGAAGCGGUUAUCGAAUUGGAAAACCUGAUGCACCGUGGGCGGUGGGGAAAUCUACCUUGUUCUACACAACGUCUAUUGGUCGUUUCACACCUGUGCUGAAAUACCUCUAAAACCGGCAUCAUGUAUCUGUUACUGUGCCUGAUCUUUACUCCAUGCCAUCCUGGAUUAAAUAGGCUGAAUGAUCAAUGGGUGAGUGAAUUAUCUUCGCUUUAUGCCCUACAGUUUGCAAACACGCCGACGAGACCAUCAUGUCAAUAUCACCACGAACUUGGUCUCUCUCUGCAAUUACAUUUGUACCACUCUCAAACGCAACUGGACCUACACUUGAUGGCAUACUUCCAACAUCUCAAACUAUUGAAUUACUUUCUUUCUGUGUCGAAAGACUCGUUUUAUUCACAAUUGUCCUGGUCCAACCAAGUCCUCACGCAUUGGGCAACUGAGAUAUAUUGUUAUGCUUUUGUUGUUCAUCUCUGGUAAUGUGCGACCAAAUCCUGGGCCAGUAGAUACCACGUAAUCUCUACCGACUCCCUAUGAUUUUUAAAACAGAG
rnacentral:lncRNA from 1 species